rnacentral:lncRNA from 1 species
AUGCAACAUACCGGAAGCGACGCUACUGCGCAUGAUCAAAAUGGCGACCUCCAGAUGCCGCGAUAUGCCGCGUUAUAUCCCACAAUCCACCUUGCCGGAAGUGACGCUAUUGCGCAUGAUCAAAAUGGCGACCUCCAGAUGCCACGUUAUGCCCCGUUAUAUCCCACAAUGCAAUAUAGCGGAAGUGACGCUACUGCGCAUGAUCAAAAUGGCGACCUCCAAAUGCCGCGAUAUGCCGCGUUAUAUCCCACAAUGCAACAUACCGGAAGCGACGCUACUGCGCAUGACCAAAAUGGCGACCGCCAAUUGCCACGUUAUGCCGCGUUAUAUCCCACAAUGCACCAUACCGGAAACGACGCUACUGCGCAUGAUCAAAAUGGCGACCGCCAAUUGCCACGGUAUGCCGCCUUAUAUCCCACAAUGCACCAUACCGGAAGCGACGCUACUGCGCAUGUUCAAAAUGGCGACCGCCAAUUGCCACGUUAUGCCGCCUUAUAUCCCACAAUGCACCAUACCGGAAGCGACGCUACUGCGCAUGACCAAAAUGGCGACCUCCAGAUGCCUCGUUAUGCCGCGUUAUAUCCCACAAUGCACCUUGCCGGAAGUGACGCUAUUCCUCACUAUGAAAAUGGCGCCCGCGACGUGCCGGGACACUGUGGGGCUUUAUGGGGCUUCUAUGGGGCUCUGUGGGGCUCUAUGGGGCUUCUAUGGGGCUCUGUGGGGCUCUAUGGGGUUCUGUGGGGCUCUAUGGGGCACUGUGGGGCUUCUAUGAAGCGCUCUUUAUCUCUAUGUGUCUCUAUGUGGCUGUAUGUGGCUGUGUGGGGCCUCCACCGUCACCACCAUCAUUCCCCUCACACCACCCACAUCACUGCCCCCCCACCAUUACCCCCAUCACCCCCAUUAUCCCCAUCACCCCCAUUAUCACCAUCACCCCAUUAUCACCCCACCAUUGUCCCCCCACUGUCCCCCCCCACUGGAACCUCUCCCCCAUUCAUCACCGUUGUCCCCCACCAUCCACUGCUGUCACACCCAUCACCUCCCCCCCACGUCACCCCACUGCCCAAUUCCAAGUGGUUUUCUUCCACUCUAACCACUAAGCGGGGUUAG